CCUACGGGAGGCAGCAGUGGGGAAUAUUGGGCAAUGGGCGCAAGCCUGACCCAGCAACGCCGCGUGAAGGAAGAAGGCUUUCGGGUUGUAAACUUCUUUUCUGAGGGACGAAGAAAGUGACGGUACCUCAGGAAUAAGCCACGGCUAACUACGUGCCAGCAGCCGCGGGAAUACGUAGGUGGCAAGCGUUAUCCGGAUUUAUUGGGUGUAAAGGGCGUGUAGGCGGGAAAGCAAGUCAGCUGUGAAAACUCAGGGCUCAACCCUGAGCCUGCAGUUGAAACUGGUUUUCUUGAGUGCGGGAGAGGCAAUCGGAAUGCGGGGUGUAGCGGUGAAAUGCGUAGAUAUACGGAGGAACACCAGUGGCGAAGGCGGAUUGCUGGACAGUAACUGACGCUGAGGCGCGAAAGCGUGGGGAGUAAACAGGAUUAGAUACCCGAGUAGUC
rnacentral:rRNA from 1 species